ensembl:lncRNA
GGGGGGUUGAGCUGCGGCGGUCCCGGUGCUCCCGCAGUGCCCCUCCCGAGCUGCCAGGCUGGAUUUUAUGGGAAUAUCGAUAGAAUUAAAGUUCCUUGUAAUUCCGUGAUAAAUGGGGUGUCUCUAGUAAGUAAGAUGAAGUGCGGUGCCGUGAAGUUGUUUAUCUGGAAAGUAAUUCUCAGAAACCUGACUUCUGACACUUGGUCAUAUAUUAAACCGGCGUCUUGAACGUUGUACUUCAGAUGCUCCUUUUCCCCCUUCCCCUCGCAGUUUGCUAUUUAUAAGACUUCGUAGGUGCGGGUGAGUUGCUGGGUAAUUUUUCACCAACUGUGAAAAGCAUCGUUUGCAACAGCCGAAGAAUUCUCUGCUUAGGAAAUAGUACGGGGAGAGUGGGCUCACGAAUAGAUAACAUCUCCCGACCGUGCCAUUAUCGGCACAAACCCGUGCGGCUGCGCUGCUCCCGGCAGCCAAAAGGCAGGGAGGGCACGCUGCGAGGCGAGCAGGCUAACGACACCUAGAUGGGAUCGCAGAGGCGAUUCUGCAGACCUAAAGCAUGCUCCGACGGCACGAACAACAUGAGCGUGGUUCUGCGCAGCCCCAAAGACACCCGGACAUCUGCCGGGUUUAUCUUAGAGACUGCAAUUAGUGACAAACCGAGUUAAACUCGGCUUGGCUUUCCUAUUCCUGCACACCAUCGGAACCAGCAAAAGUUCCCAGCUCACAGCAUAACCCCCCCCCCCCCCCCCCUCCAGGACGGCCCCAUUCCCCAGACUUGUUUUUCCCAUUGCAAGAUGAAUGUGGCACUGUAUGUCACUUAACGCGCUCACCUAUGAGAGGCACAAAAAGUGAAGGUUAUUGCUUUUUGGAACGCACACUCGCAGUGUUCCACUUGCACGUUUGAUGGAUGUCUGUGGAAACACAGCUCCGGCCCCAUCAAACUGUUUGGAUUCAGAGUGCUCCGCUUGCAAACCAGUAGAUUUCUGAGUAAACUUGAGACGAAGAGCACAAAUUUGGGUGAGCUAAGGGGGAGCCUCUUCCUUAGCACUGAUGUGGGUGAGUGCAUGCGGAGCUCUGACCUCCAGGGCAGCACUGGAGUUACUGUACAGCAUUGUUCUGGUGUGAUGAUUGCAGAGCUGCCGCCCCAAAACGGCACGGCGUAGCAGAGAGAAAGGAUUAUUAGCAAUUUUUUGGAUCACCUUCAGGAGCAGCAACGCUCUCCUCCCUCCCCUCCGCCAUUCUCACUGUAGUGCUAUUUUCCUUUAUUAUUUGGCUAUUCACGACGGCUGUCUAAACAUUUACAGUCCCCUAUUAACAGCGUUUCUCCCCAAACAAUCGCACGCUUUCAUUUCAAUUAGAGCCAUUCAGGCUCGGGUUUUGCCACCAGGCCACGUCCCAGCCCCGCUCCCUUUCCCAGCACGGACCCAGGCAGCGCACAGCCCACAUCCCCACACCUCCUGCUCACAUCCCCACACCUCCUGCCCUGCUCCAGGUUAGGAGCUCAGACCACGACGCGUUCUGCCCUGGGUGCGGAUCAAGAACAACACAUUAAGAACAGUUACCGCUCCCUUUGUUUGCCCGGUGUCUGAUUUUUAUGGUGCAGAACUAAAGAGUGCCCGCUGAAUUUGACUAUGGAAGCGGGCAAAUUGCUUUCCAAAAGGCUUCUUCGGAGCACAGUGAUAAGGCACAACCCGCUCCUAGGUGCAGCGCCAGAUAAAUCCUUUUAACAGUCCUCAGAUCAGUUAACAGGUUUUGCAUCGGUGUUGCCGAAUCCAUCAUUUCCACUGCUUGCUUAUCGUGUUUCUGAAACACUCAGAAUAUCCCAAAUAAGCCCGUGUGAUCCAGAAGGAACUUCUCUCUCGGGCUGGAGGUUGGUGCCACCAGGUUUGUGCUGCACUCACCCUAUGAUGCAUGUCCCACUUUACUCGUCUCCAUGAAUGGUUCAGCCUGGAUGUGAAAAUCAAUACAGACGUCCCUGAUGCCAAAAACCUAUUUGUCUAAAAGAUAUAAAAAGUGAAAUUGCAAUAAAGAUUUUUAUCGGGCUUUAUGGUGGAAUUCGUCAUUUAUAACUGGGAUGAUGAUGUUGGGUUAUAUAACGUGUUCGCUCUCAAAUUAGCUGAUGUGAGUAAAUAGAGGUAAUCUGGUAAAAUCUGGUGCCCAGGUUGAUCUCUGCAGAAAG